UUUAAGAGCCCAGUAGACGACAUGGCCUCUUACCUGAGCAGUGUGUGGGGCGAUGUACGAGCUCCUAUUGUUGAUAAGACGGGGUAGUUCGGCCCCUGAGCUACUGAUAUCUCUGCCCUUUCACCUGAGCAGUCAUUGCUGCUGAGUCUAAGAAGCAGGUGCUGAAUCAAGUGUAGGAGUGCAUCAGCCUUGGGGGACAAGAGGGACUGUGGGUUCCAUCUCCUGGUCACCCUGCGUGUCCCUGCACCUGGUCCAGUGCCAUCUUCCCAUCUCUUUGAAGGACAGCUGUGCCUAUUUUCCCACUGUGUCUUGGAGUCACCAUUCCUAAAGGUGAGAUCACCACAGAAAAUAUUGGUCCUUGUUAUCUGGUGCCUGAGGCCCAACUCCAGUGACAAAACCAAACCAAAACAGUGCCAACCUGAAGAUUGGUGUGUGGAGCCACAGGAAGGAAAUCACUUUACCUCUGUGGUCAGAAAUCAACUUGGACACUGUGUGAAUAUAUGAAAAUCAUUAAGAGGAAAGCAGCUCCAUUUCCACUAUUAUACUUCAAGGAAAGCUGGUACAAGGAAGGCCCGGGUGCCCUAAUCUCAAGUGAAGAGGGACCAAAGGGAUGGAGAAGACGUCAAUCUGUGCUUUGGUUCUUUCUUUUGCUCUAUGCACACUCUGAGGCUCCCACAAAGAUGUUUGCAGAAGCAAGCAUGAAUCCUUCUAUAACUGCACUGUAGUAAUUAAGUUAGAUUUAACUUUU